UACAGAGGGGGCAAGCGUUGUUCGGAAUUACUGGGCGUAAAGGGCGCGUAGGCGGCCCGCUAAGUCGAACGUGAAAUCCCCGACGCUCAACUCGGGAACUGCGUCCGAUACUGGUGGGCUUGAAUCCGGGAGAGGGAUGCGGAAUUCCAGGUGUAGCGGUGAAAUGCGUAGAUAUCUGGAGGAACACCGGUGGCGAAGGCGGCAUCCUGGACCGGCAUUGACGCUGAGGCGGCGAAAAGCUAGGGGAGCAAACGGGG
rnacentral:rRNA from 1 species